rnacentral:rRNA from 1 species
GAUGAACGCUGGCGGCGUGCCUAAUACAUGCAAGUCGAGCGAACAGAUGAGGAGCUUGCUCCUCUGACGUUAGCGGCGGACGGGUGAGUAACACGUGGAUAACCUACCUAUAAGACUGGGAUAACUUCGGGAAACCGGAGCUAAUACCGGAUAAUAUAUUGAACCGCAUGGUUCAAUAGUGAAACACGCUUUUGCUGUCACUUAUAGAUGGAUCCGCGCCGCAUUAGCUAGUUGGUAAGGUAACGGCUUACCAAGGCAACGAUGCGUAGCCGACCUGAGAGGGUGAUCGGCCACACUGGAACUGAGACACGGUCCAGACCCCUACGGGAGGCAGCAGUAGGGAAUCUUCCGCAAUGGGCGAAAGCCUGACGGAGCAACGCCGCGUGAGUGAUGAAGGUCUUCGGAUCGUAAAAAUCUGUUAUUAGGGAAGAACAAAUGUGUAAGUAACUAUGCACGUCUUGACGGUACCUAAUCAGAAAGCCACGGCUAACUACGUG